AUGGAUGGACCUUGCAAAUUCCACAGCGGCGCGAAGUCGUCGAAUCACACCACCCGGAAGUGCCACUGGCUCACCAGGAUUGCCAAGGGAGACGGCCUCCUAGCUCCCCCGCCGGCUGGGCAGCCGCCUCCGCCUCCGCCCCAGCAGCUGGCUGCCAGGCCAGUUGGCGCAGUGCAAGACGAAUACCCUGAAGAACACGGAGCCUACGUGGUGUUUACCAAUAUGGCUGAUGAUCGACGUAGCAGGCGGCUGCAACGACAAGAGGUGAAUGCAGUAGCGUUGGAAACGCCAGAGUUCAUGCACUGGUCCGAAAAGCCCAUCAACUGGAGCAGGGCUGACCAUCCAGAGGUGAUGCCGAGUCCGGGCUCCUAUGCCUUGGUCUUGGACGCCACCUUUGCCACGGAUAGACGAGCUGCGCGUUUCUCGCGAGUCCUAAUAGACGGAGGCAGCAUCAUCAAUAUCCUAUACAAGGAUGCCAUGGAGAAGUUAGGAAUCAUGCAAAGACAGCUUCAGAACAGCCGGACAGUGUUUCAAGGCAUUGUACCUGGGCUUUCCUGCUCGCCGAUCGGCAAGAUCCUGAUGGACGUCCUCUUUGGGGACAAAGAUCACUUCGGAAGAGAGUCUGUUUGGUUUGAGGUGGUGGACCUUGAGAGCCUAUACCAUGCUACUUGGCCGACCCGCCUUGGCCAAGUUCAUGGCGGUCCCCCACUACGCUUACCUCAAGAUGAAGAUGCCCAGUUCCAGGGGAAUUCUGACUUUGGCUGGCGACUACCGGAAGUCGUCUGCUUGGGCGGUUGA
rnacentral:rRNA from 1 species